GUGGGGAAUAUUGGACAAUGGGCGAAAGCCUGAUCCAGCCAUGCCGCGUGUGUGAAGAAGGUCUUCGGAUUGUAAAGCACUUUAAGUUGGGAGGAAGGGCAGUAAGUUAAUACCUUGCUGUUUUGACGUUACCGACAGAAUAAGCACCGGCUAACUUCGUGCCAGCAGCCGCGGUAAUACGAAGGGUGCAAGCGUUAAUCGGAAUUACUGGGCGUAAAGCUCGCGUAGGUGGUUUUGUAAGUUGGAGGUGAAAUCCCCGGGCGCAACCUGGGAACUGCCUCCAAAACUGCAUGACUAGAGUACGGUAGAGGGUAGUGGAAUUUCCUGUGUAGCGGUGAAAUGCGUAGAUAUAGGAAGGAACACCAGUGGCGAAGGCGACUACCUGGACUGAUACUGACACUGAGGUGCGAAAGCGUGGGGAGCAAACAGGAUUAGAUACCCUAGUAGUCC
rnacentral:rRNA from 1 species